GACGGAGGAUGCAAGUGUUAUCCGGAAUCACUGGGCGUAAAGCGUCUGUAGGUGGUCAAAUAAGUCAACUGUUAAAUCUUGAGGCUCAACCUCAAAAUCGCAGUCGAAACUAUUCGACUAGAGUAUAGUAGGGGUAAAGGGAAUUUCCAGUGGAGCGGUGAAAUGCGUAGAGAUCAGGAAGAACAUCGGUGGCGAAGGCGCUCUGCUGGACCAUAACUGACACUCAGGGACGAAAGCUAGGGGAGCGAAUGGG
rnacentral:rRNA from 1 species